GUAUAGAGGCGGGAGAGAUAAUACGACCAGCGGAUUCAUGAAAACUCUAUAAGCGAGCAAAGUACCAUCAAAAUGAGGUUGAACGCUGAUGCUGGGACUCGAAAGAUCUCGACACAGCUGAUGGGGUUUUCCACGCAGGUGGCAUCAGAUGGUGUGUGUCUUGCCAACCAUCAGGCCCAGCAUGCGGCAGCCAACUGCUACACUGAAGCUUGCCUGACAAGUUGUGGCUCAUAGUCGCUGAUGUCAUGUUGAAAGACAAACACAAGCAGAGUUGACUGACACCUGAGUGAAGAAGUACUUUCUCUUAACUUUUUACCCUACUCUCAAGUUACCUUUGUACUGCAAUGAAGAAAUAAAGGAUGAUUAGACUUUCAUUGUUUUGAGUCACAUUAUUGGUGAAAUCUAAUAACGGUAUUCUAAUUUUUUGCAUUUUAGGUGGUUCCAGACCUGACAACGUUAAGUGAAUGUCCAGUCUGAUUCCUUAGUUAUGCGGUAUCAAGUCCCUUAUGUAUUUCAGUUAAUUGGUCCAAAUACUAUGACAUAGGAUUCAAUAUUUGCUUUAAAAUGUUUGUUAUACCCAAUAUGGUAUAGUAGAGAAUCUGCCUUUUUAGACAAAUAUGACAGGACUCAUGU